rnacentral:rRNA from 1 species
UACGUAGGGUGCGAGCGUUGUCCGGAAUUAUUGGGCGUAAAGAGCUCGUAGGCGGUGUGUCGCGUCGGCUGUGAAAACCUGGGGCUCAACUCUGGGCGUGCGGUCGAUACGGGCAUCACUGGAGUUCGGCAGGGGAGACUGGAAUUCCUGGUGUAGCGGUGAAAUGCGCAGAUAUCAGGAGGAACACCGGUGGCGAAGGCGGGUCUCUGGGCCGAUACUGACGCUGAGGAGCGAAAGCAUGGGUAGCGAACAGG